UCCACCUAAAAAUCAGAUUCCCGCUAUAGGUUGAUUUCAGUAUUUCACCCAAAUCUUUCUCUUCCUCAUUCGCACCCCAGAUCUCCCUUCUUUGCACCCCGAUCUCCCUUCUUCGCAACGUGAUUGUGGUCGCCAUGAUUCUCCCUCCUUUGCACACCAGAUUGAGAACCAUACUUCACGCCACCGUGAACCCCUAAAAACCCUAAUCACACCCGUAUCCUUCACUGGCGAAAUAUCCAUUGUUUUUCUAAUCAUUGUUGAGAGAAAAGAUGUCAAUUAGUUUGAUGAGACAAAGCUAGGUUUGCAUAUAAAUGUCGUGUUAACAGUUGAUUUUGAAGGUGUUUAUGUUUGAAGAUCAGGUGUUCGAUGAAAUGCCUAAAUGAAAAUUGAUCAAUCCUGAUUUUCAGAGGAUGAUAGUCAUGGCGAUUUCCAAACCAUCAUCUUCACGGUCUAGGUUAUUUGUUUUAUGGGUUCCACACCAGCAAUUGGUUCCCCUAGAUUGUUUCGACUACUAUAAUCGAUGUCACGUUCCAAUUGGCCUUUCAUGGACAAGCUUCGAUCAGUAGAGCUUCCUGGAGUCGUAGCUUGGCGUGGAAAGUUGGUGAUAAACACCCAGGUUUUUAAUUAUUGUACUCUUCUUAUAUCGUAUUUAUAGGCAGAUAUGUAGUGGUUCUUGAUGAUGACGUGUUCAGGAGUAACGAAACUAGGCGACGGACAAGGGUUAAAUGGUAUCCCGUACCCGACAUGUUCUAGUGGUGAUGCUUCCAGUGAAAAAGUUUCAAGAAAGGAACCUAAAUGCUAAGUGGAGCCUGCAUAAUAAGUUGGGUCAAGUAUCUUUAAGGACAACUAUGAUGGUUCUGAUUCUGCACCAGUAGAAGGUUGAAGAUGAAGUUUUCCUCAAAAGCAUUCUAAACUCUACCGAGACUGUAGCAAGAGGAAGGGUCCAGAGCUUGGACCCAAAUGAUCUAGUUGGUAGUACAGAGAUUGGACCAGAAUGGUGUGAGGUAAACGUUCAAGUACCAAUAAAAAAGGAUGAAAACUUGGUAAGACCAUAUGGUUUAUUUUCUACAAUUCAAGAUUGUAUUGGUGCAUCCAUCAUAUGGCCCUAUCCAUUCAUCUCGGUAGUCCAUGAGGAUUGAGGAUGCAUGAUAACUCAAGAUUUUAUGCUUCUUAUUUCUUUAAUUGCUUUUAAUUUCUUUGUUAAAUGUUAAGACUUUAUGUUAGAUAAUGUUAUAACUUAUUUAUGGUUAGUGUUUUUAUUAUGAACAUGCUUAUUUGAAAUAUAAUGAAGUUUUAUUUCUUCA